GUCUGUGAGCCAGCAGAGUAAGGCUAAGCUAUUGACUAUGGAAAGUGAUUUGAAAUAUUCCACCAAGCCCUAUCAAAUGGAUGGUAACUGCAAGAGGAUAAGCCCAUGAUAGAUAAGUGUUGUCCAGGACUUCCCAGUAACUAACUUCACCCUCAAAUUGAAAAUGAAAUUACUGCAAAAGAGAAGCUUUUCUCCUUCCACCUCUGUAGUAAUAAAACCACCAAUAACCCCA